rnacentral:rRNA from 1 species
GAAGCUGGAAUCGCUAGUAAUCGCGGAUCAGCACGCCGCGGUGAAUACGUUCCCGGGCCUUGUACACACCGCCCGUCACACCAUGAGAGUCUGUAACACCCAAAGCCGGUGGGAUAACCUUUAUAGGAGUCAGCCGUCUAAGGUAGGACAGAUGAUUAGGGUGAAGUCGUAACAAGGUACC